GUGGAGUGUUUACAGAUUGUCGUUCUUAGACGACGGCUUAUAAGAGGAGUAAAACUAAUAACGCACAACAAACCCUAAUUAGGGUCACCAAUAUAUACCGCGGGUUACAAGAGAUGGUGCAUGGUUGUCGUCAUCUCGUGUCGUAAGGUGUUGGGUUAAGUCUCGCAACGAGCGCAACCCUCGUGUUUAGUUGCCACUAUGAGUUUGGAACCCUGUUAAGCCAGAGGAAGGAGAGGAUGAGGCCAAGUCAUCAUGCCCCUUAUGCCCUGGGCGACACACGUGCUACAAUGGGCGGGACAAAAAGUCACGAUCUUGUGAGGGUGAGCUAACUCCAAAAUUCUGUCAUUUGGAUUUGUAGGCUGCAACUCGCUUGCAUGAAGCAGGAAU
rnacentral:ncRNA from 1 species